AGCGAGCGCUGGCGGCAGGCCUAACACAUGCAAGUCGAGCGCCCAGCAAUGGGAGCGGCAGACGGGAGAGUAACACGUGGGAACGUACCCUUCAGUUCGGAACAACCCAGGGAAACUUGGGCUAAUACCGAAUACGUCCGUAAGGAGAAAGAUUUAUCGCUGAAGGAUCGGCCCGCGUCUGAUUAGCUAGUUGGUGAGGUAACGGCUCACCAAGGCGACGAUCAGUAGCUGGUCUGAGAGGAUGAUCAGCCUCACUGGGACUGAGACACGGCCCAGACUCCUACGGGAGGCAGCAGUGGGGAAUAUUGGACAAUAGGCGCAAGCCUGAUCCAGCCAUGCCGCGUGGAUGAUGAAGGCCCUAGGGUUGUAAAGUCCUUUCGACGGGGAAGAUAAUGACGGUACCCGUAGAAGAAGCCCCGGCUAACUUCGUGCCAGCAGCCGCCGUAACAC
rnacentral:rRNA from 1 species